AGGUUGCAUGGAAGGAGAGAAAGAGAACACUCCUCUCAAUAAGGUUGGAAGAGGUCCUAGUGGCCUGUACAACACGCUUAUGGUUAAUUUAACAGGGAGGAGCUAUGGCUCAGU